rnacentral:tRNA from 1 species
AGAGAAAUAGCUCAGUGGUAGAGCGCAUGCUUAGCAUGCAUGAGGUCCUGGGUUCAAUCCCCAGUACCUCCA